GUGGCCAGGGGAUGGGGCGGACCUGAUGCAAAGCAGUGGUCUUGCCCAGGAUCCCUCUUGCAAGAACCAUGCUGGUAUUCCUCAGUGACCCCACUCCCCAUGGCUUCCAUUACCACCCGAGCGCCGCCUCCUGUCAGCAGCAUGAAAAAUUGCACAACGUGGGCUUCCCUGGUGGCGCAAUGGUUAAGAAUCUGCCU